GAGCGCCUAUAAGCCGCAUAAUUCGCAUUUCCGACUUAAGCGUCAGACAGUUGGCGUAUUGGCCCAACCGAAGCCAAUGUAGCCAACGGCAUGAGCACAAAUAACAAUGGUUCCAUGGCCGCUGUAGAAAGUCUGGUGCUUCCACGGCCAGUUUUAGUGUUGGUAAAGGAUUUGAUACCGGUAUAUUACAGAAGUAGUCAACGCUCGAGUACAACAUUUUGUGAAUCAGACUACAAAAGAAACGUCAGAUUUCCUUCCAUGAAAAACGAAAAGGACAACAAGGUCAACGAUGGUUCUUUGUUAGCUAACUCUUUGCCCUUUAGUUGCUACCGUUUGAAAACCUCCAGCGCAGCGAUAUUGGAAUAGUGUAGUACUAACUGCAGCAUCACCUUUAACCGCACGGCAUUCAUCAACUAGUAAAACAGGACUGGACUGAAGAAUUGAAUUGUGGAAGGAUGUGCGGACGUGUAAAACGGAACUUAGGCUAUGCUCCCAGCAAACUGGUGGAUGGCAACUGACAAGAUACUAAAAUCGAAAACAAGCAGACGAAUUGGUGAGAGAGGUGUCGGAAGGGAAAAGAUUUCGUGUCGAACAAGGCAUGGACCUAAUCCUGAUAGCAUCUGCCUACUCCUGAUGCCACCGUCCUAGUAGUAAUCGGAAGAAAAUCCAGUGACUACCGACAUCACCUAACAAAUCACAAUUUCUAAUCGAUCGUCGAUCAGCGUGGAAAAAAAGGAAAAGUUGACAAAACCUGCAGGUCGACCACGACACCCCGCAAGAUGAAGAAAACUUCCGGUAUUGCUCAUUGGCCAACAUCAACAAGACGACAUCGGAUGAUUCUGAUUUUGCCAUGAACGGAAGAGAACACUUGGUGCAACACUAUAGUUUGGUUAACUUUUGAAGAGAGAGUGAGGAGAAAAUACUUCAAGGAUCUCAUUCCUCCAAUAACCAUGGCAGAUUUGUUCCCGGUUUAUCCUCGCACCUGUUCGAUAGACUUUAUCAAUUGGCGGAAAAUGACGAGUGGUCGGCCGCGCUGAAAUUCAAGAUCGAUAAAUUAUACAUAUAAAUGUAAAUAAAUUAAAAGUGCAUAUCUGGGCUCCCUUCUUCAGUGGCCCCGUUUCCCUAAAUAACCACUAACCAACGCCCGCCGGUGGUCACUCACUCGCUGCGACAACCAGGAGGAAGGGAGAUGUUUGGUCGAACGGGGACUUGCAAGGCGCAUGAUUCGAUGAAAUCUGUUGGAGGGUCAUGAGUCUAAGCCGGAAGCCUACUAUGAUACACUGCUCUCAUAAUAACUGCUCCUCAGCUCUCUUCGCUCUUUUUCCGGUUUCUCUUAACCAUGGCCGGGUAAUCUCCCUGGUCGAGUCAGUCGGGCAGUGUCUCCCCCUGCUUGACUGGCAGCAGUUUGUAACGGACGGUCUGUUUAAUAAAUAAACCAUAUAU